UUAAAAAGCUCGUAGUUGGAUCUCAACAGCCUUGAAGCGGUUAACUUUGUAGUUUUACUGCUUUAUAGGCUGUGCUUUUGCUGGAGGUUUAGGGGUGCUCUUGAUCGAGUGUCUCUGGAUGCCAGCAGGUUUACUUUGAAAAAAUUAGAGUGCUCAAAGCAGGCUAAAAUGCCUGAAUAUUCGUGCAUGGAAUAAUAGAAUAGGAUGUCGACCCUAUUUUGUUGGUUUUCGGGACUCGACAUAAUGAUAAAUAGGGACAGUCCGGGGGCAUUUGUAUUCAAACGACCAGAGGUGAAAUUCUUGGACCCGUUUGAAGACAAACUACUGCGAAAGCAUUUGC
rnacentral:rRNA from 1 species